rnacentral:siRNA from 1 species
CGUUUUGCGGUUUUUGUGGUC